rnacentral:rRNA from 1 species
GUAGGGAAUAUUGGACAAUGGGCGAAAGCCUGAUCCAGCCAUGCCGCGUGAUAGAUGAAGGCCCUCUGGGUUGUAAAUAUCUUUUAUCUGGGAAGAAACUCCUCUAUUCUUAGAGGCCUGACGGUACCAGAGGAAUAAGCACCGGCUAACUCCGUGCCAGCAGCCGCGGUAAUACGGAGGGUGCAAGCGUUAUCCGGAUUCACUGGGUUUAAAGGGUGCGUAGGCGGGUUGAUAAGUCAGUGGUGAAAGCUCCGGGCUUAACUUGGAAACUGCCAUUGAUACUGUCAAUCUUGAAUGUCGUAGAGGUAAGCGGAAUGUUGCAUGUAGCGGUGAAAUGCUUAGAUAUGUUACAGAACACCAAUUGCGAAGGCAGCUUACUAUGCGAUAAUUGACGCUGAGGCACGAAAGCGUGGGGAGCAAACAGGAUUAGAAACCCUAGUAGUCC